rnacentral:rRNA from 1 species
UGAGGAAUAUUGGUCAAUGGGCGAGAGCCUGAACCAGCCAAGUCGCGUGAAGGAAGACGGUUCUAUGAAUUGUAAACUUCUUUUGUAGAGGAAUAAAGUUGGUUACGUGUAACCUUUUGUAUGUACUUUACGAAUAAGGAUCGGCUAACUCCGUGCCAGCAGCCGCGGUAAUACGGAGGAUCCAAGCGUUAUCCGGAUUUAUUGGGUUUAAAGGGUGCGUAGGUGGAUUGAUAAGUCAGCGGUGAAAGUUUGCAGCUUAACUGUAAAAUUGCCGUUGAAACGGUCAGUCUUGAGUGCAAAUGAGGGAGGCGGAAUGUGUUGUGUAGCGGUGAAAUGCUUAGAUAUAACACAGAACUCCGAUUGCGAAGGCAGCUUACUGGGAUGCAACUGACACUGAUGCACGAAAGCGUGGGUAUCAAACA